AUAAGAGACGGGUGAGUCAUCGAAUCUUUGAACGCACAUUGCGCCCCUUGGUAUUCCAUGGGGCAUGCCUGUUCGAGCGUCAUUUGUACUCUCAAGCUAAGCUUGGUGUUGGGUGUUUGUCCACUCCCGCGUGUUUGGACUCGCCUUAAAACAAUUGGCAGCCAGUGUUUUGGUAUUGAAGCGCAGCACAAUUUGCGAUCCAAGCCCAUGAAUACUAGCAACCAUCAAGCCCAUUUUUAACGCUUGACCUCGGAUCAGGUAGGGAUACCCGCUGAACUUAAGCAUAUCAAUAAGCGGAGG
rnacentral:misc_RNA from 1 species